AUUGAACGCUGGCGGCAUGCCUUACACAUGCAAGUCGAACGGUAACGGGCCUUCGGGCGCCGACGAGUGGCGAACGGGUGAGUAAUGCAUCGGAACGUACCUUUCAGUGGGGGAUAACGUAGCGAAAGUUACGCUAAUACCGCAUAUUCUGUGAGCAGGAAAGCAGGGGAUCGCAAGACCUUGCGCUGAUUGAGCGGCCGAUGUCAGAUUAGCUAGUUGGUGAGGUAAAGGCUCACCAAGGCGACGAUCUGUAGCGGGUCUGAGAGGAUGAUCCGCCACACUGGAACUGAGACACGGUCCAGACUCCUACGGGAGGCAGCAGUGGGGAAUUUUGGACAAUGGGGGCAACCCUGAUCCAGCCAUGCCGCGUGAGUGAAGAAGACCUUCGGGUUGUAAAGCUCUUUCGGCCGGGAAGAAAUCGUAUGGGCUAAUACCCUGUGCGGAUGACGGUACCGGCAUAAGAAGCACCGGCUAACUACGUGCCAGCAGCCGCGGUAAAAC
rnacentral:rRNA from 1 species